AGGCUUCACAUGAGUUGCUAAAUUGAGAAGUAAGUAUGGUAUCACCAUUGGAAGUAAAAAAUAACUCAUUUUGUAUUUCAAUACUCAAAUUUGAGUCUCACCAUUGGAGAUGGUCUAAUAUAUCAUAUGGAACAACAUUCUUAGUUUAUGAUUACUUAAGAGCCUCUCCGACUAGAGACUACUUAAGAGCCUCUCCAAUGUAGCGGCAAAGGCUGCUGUUGCUUUGGAUGGGGGCAUAGAAGAAGUCAUUCGAAGGAAAGUGUUUCAAUUGAGGCAAAAAUUAAGAAAUUUGAUGAGGAAUUAAUGGGAAAAGCUAAGAAAAAGCCCCCAAAUUUGGCGUUAGAAAGAAGCUCCUCACUUCCAAAACCCUCGAACAAUACUAAUUCUCUCUCUUCCUCUCUAUUUCUUUCUUUAUAUUAUACUCUGCAGGAUACUUUUUUCCUUCCAUUUUCUGCAUGAUGUGGGCUUGCAAAUCUGAAUGUCGAAUCAAAGAAGUUUAAGUUGUACUGAUUUUGAGUUCUCUAGAUUGGUGGAAUCCUGAUUGACUUUAUCUUGUAAAUAAUGUGUUCUCUAUUCAACUCCAUUCAAAUCAAAGCCUCCAAGGAAAGUAUACACUCUUGUUUUCUUGCCUCUAUUUCGCUCAAAAGUCCAAAACCUUCGUCUUCAUCAGCUUUAAAGGCACUGCUGGUUGAGAAAAAUGUGAAAAUCUAGAAGGUACAAGGCCAUGGGCAUUAGGAAGAACACUGCAUAUAAGCUAUAUUGCACAAAACAAAGUUCUGCUAUACAAUUCAAUGCCAACCUUCCCCGAUUUAGCAAGUCACAAAGGUUGGCAUAGUCUUUCUUUUUUCUUAUCAAUCACAAAGGCAGGGCUGCGACUACUUAAGAGCCUCUCCGAUCAGAAUGUAGCGGAGGAGGCUUCUGUUGAUUUGAAUGGGGGGCAUAGAAGAAGUCAUUUCGAGGAAAAUGUUUCAAUUGAUUAAGAAAUGUGAUGACUUAUUAAUGGGAAAAGCUAAAAAAAAGCCUCAAAUUUGGCGUCUGGAAGAAGCUUUUCACUUCCAAAACUCUCAAACAAUGUCUCGGGAGAUGAUAGCAAAUAAGCACCAUACAAAGAAAGCUGAUGUUAUUGUUUUGGCAUCGUCUUGUGGGAGAUCUUGACCGUAUUGAUGCCCUGCGUUGUAUUUAAGAUUGAUGAGAAGAAGAAAGAGCUUGUAGAUGAGAAGAUUGGCAAUUCAGCCGAAAGCUAUGAUGAUUUUUGGCUGCCUUACUGGAAAGUGACUGUGGAUAUGCAUCUCUGUCUAUGAUUUUGACAUCUGGAUGAGAAGAUUGGCAAUUCAGCCGAAAGCUAUGAUGAUUUUUGGCUGCCUUACUGGAAAGUGACUGUGGAUAUGCAUCUCUGUCUAUGAUUUUGACAUCUGAAUACUUUGAAACAGGAAAAGCAACGGCCAAAGGG